UACGUAGGGUGCGAGCGUUGUCCGGAAUUAUUGGGCGUAAAGGGCUCGUAGGCGGUUUGUCGCGUCGGGAGUGAAAUCCACUGGCUUAACUGGUGGCUUGCUUUCGAUACGGGCAGACUAGAGUUCGGUAGGGGAGACUGGAAUUCCUGGUGUAGCGGUGAAAUGCGCAGAUAUCAGGAGGAACACCGGUGGCGAAGGCGGGUCUCUGGGCCGAUACUGACGCUGAGGAGCGAAAGCGUGGGGAGCGAACAGG
rnacentral:rRNA from 1 species